GUUCCCUCCCUGUAGAGAAGCAGCCACCACGUGAAAAUCUCCCACAAGAGAGUAAGGAAGACUUUAGUAUGCAGGGAACUGCAGCGCUCAACCACUUGGAUCAGCCCACAACUGAUGACACAGGAGCCUCAGAGGUAUCACAGAAGCCAGAUACUGAAACAACUUAGACCCAGCUGCCAUUCAUUCACGGAGAAGACAAUUACUGCACACCUGCCGGGUGCCAGACCCUGUGCUGAGCACGGGUGCAUUCUGUCUACAAGUUCAGUAAGGCAAGAGUCAGUACACUAAGACUUUUUGAAGUAUCCUCAUAUGUUAUCAGAUAUUUGGAUCUGGCCAAGUGUAAAUGUCCCCAGUUUCCUCAACUUUUGCAAAGUGAUUUCUGGACCAUUCAUUCUCCUUGUCCUUUUCCAUGAGUCAAGUAAUCUUAAAAUGUGGGACCCAGAACUGGACCCACUGGCAUAGGGGUGAUGAUGGCAUGACUG